UGAGUAAACUGGAUGAUUACGGGCACAAAAGCCGAAAGGCUGUGUUCGAGGAAAGUCGGAGCUCCACAGGGCAGGGUGCUGGGUAACGCCCAGUGAGGGUGACCUUAAGGCAAGUGCCACAGAAACAAACCGCCGGUUUACACCGGUAAGGGUGGAAAGGUGAGGUAAGAGCUCACCAGCAGUCAGGCGACUGGCUGGCUCGGUAAACCCCACCCGGAGCAAGACCGAAUAGAGAAGCG
rnacentral:RNase_P_RNA from 1 species